rnacentral:rRNA from 1 species
UCGUCCCGGUUCAAGCAGGUAGGCAGAGUGAUUAGGCAAAUCCGGUCACUUAAUGCUGAGAUGUGAUGACGAACCACCAAGGUGGUGAAGCAAUUGAUGCCCCGCUUCCAGGAAAAGCCUCUAAGCUUCAGGUUACCAACAAUCGUACCCCAAACCGACACAGGUGGUCAGGUAGAGAAUACUCAGGCGCUUGAGAGAACUCGGGUGAAGGAACUAGGCAAAAUGGUGCCGUAACUUCGGGAGAAGGCACGCUGGCGGUAGGUAAAGUCCCUCGCGGACGGCGCUGAAGCCAGUCGAAGAUACCAGCUGGCUGCAACUGUUUAUUAAAAACACAGCACUGUGCAAACACGAAAGUGGACGUAUACGGUGUGACGCCUGCCCGGUGCUGGAAGGUUAAUUGAUGGGGUCAGCCGUAAGGCGAAGCUCCUGAUCGAAGCCCCAGUAAACGGCGGCCGUAACUAUAACGGUCCUAAGGUAGCGAAAUUCCUUGU